rnacentral:lncRNA from 1 species
AUGCAUCAGAGGCAGACGAUCUUAUUCUAGAAUGGGCAAAGAAAUAUCCGUUCAAAGUUCAAGGGACAGAAUAUAUUUCUAUCAUCGAUGAUUCUACUACAAGUACUUUCACUUCACCAUACCUUGAUCCUCUGGGAAAUUAUUCAACGCUUCAUGCGAACCUUCGAUUCAAAAGGGCACAUAAAAAAUUGACGUCAUGUAUAUAGCUCCUCCAGUUAUCUUCUUUCUGGUGGCUUUUUUCUCAUUUUUACUCCUGGAGUUUGAUGACCUGAAGGCUCAGAUUCAUUCACGCCUACAAGUAUGCACUGGAAUGUUGGUUUCAACAAUAAUGUUGUGGGGCGGAAUUUACGCAAAACUUCCACCUGUAGCAGUAUUGGCGAAGCUGGACUUAUGGAUGCUUGCUCAUGUCAUUUUAAUAGCGAUUAUAAUUGUUUUUCAUUUGGUAUUAUUUCUCUUGGAAUGCUUUGUGAGUGACUACAGGAAACGAAUACAGUGCUUCGCUAUAGGGAUGUGUGUGAUUAUGCUUUUGGGGUACAUAUUCGUUGCUGUUUUUUAUACUUUGGAUUGGAAGGAGGGUUAACUCAUUGAUAACCGUUUUGUACAUCCGUUUGUUGUCAUUGAUAAGAACAUUUUUCUACCUGUUUCUGAUAACUGAAAAGACUCGUUCACAAAACCAUACAAUCGAAUUCUUAAUUAUUAUUUUGUGUUGACACUAACUAGUUCGAGUAGGAUGUUAUAUUGGAAAGAAGGUUGUUUUAGGCCAGGUUUCAGUUAAUUUAAAGAGGACAACUUGUUGAUCCGUAUAUGUCACAGAUGAAAUGUAUAACACGUGUGUGAUAUAUUCAACCGUAAAAUUGACAUCUGUCUAAUGUCUCAUAUUUGUCUGGUCAUUUUUCACAGAUUAAACCGAAACCAAUAAGUCAAAUACGUUGUGAGAUAAAAGUGCAUAAAACUACAAAUUAGACUUUUGUUACACGCAUACCAGGAAGGAGGUCGGAUCCCCGACCCCAAGACCCCCCACAGGAACCGGCCAUGCAAUUAUAUCAAGUUUACGCUGUUUGCAAUGAAUGCAUUUUUAUUGUCGCACGUGUGACUGGGACUUUCAUAGGUUAUCUACUGCAAGUCUGUGCUUAGCCUAGUAGAUUAGCAAUAUUUGCCAAUGUAGAAGAGCCGAUGUUAUACUAUUGUAGUAGACCUAUGUAAUUUUAAUAGACUUAUGCAUUUUGUGGUGAAUGUCAGGAAUUUGAGUCAUUAUAUAUGCCCAUUUUAUUGUGAUCUAUUUCCUACGUGCUCUGGUUUAAGAAUAAAAGUAUUGAGUCUGUUCAUGACAGGUAAUGAAAUCUGCAACACCUCUCACCGGCUCUCACUUAGCACCGGCUUAAGCGUAACUCUAUUACAUAUAUAUUCAAUGACUCCAUGAUCCUGAAGGAAAUAUAACAACAUUAAAAUUGUAUAAAUUAUACAAAUUAUGAAGACAUUCUUGUAAAAAGUGAAGAGACUCCUUAACAAAAAGUACAAUGCAUUUUUGGAAUCACUGAUUUAUGUUUUAUAUUGUCUUGUGUCUAAACUAUCUGGUAUACGUGAAAAAGGGGUCAUUUCUUAAAGGUGGUUGUUGUAGGUCACUUGUCAAUUAAUUUUGUGCGAUCAAGUGACAUAAUAUCUAGCACAAAUAUACAAUUAAGAAAAAUUCACGUGAUCAGAAUAAAUGUGUGUGUUCGGGUUUAACGUCUUUUUCAACAAUUUUCAGUCAUAUAAACUACGGUGUCUACUUGUAGCAGUGAGCACAAUGCCCAACUUUAUAGUGCUGCCUCACUGGAAUAUCACG